GGGAAUCUACCCUGAACUGCGGAAUAGCUCCGGGAAACUGGAAUUAAUACCGCACGUGCCCUGAGGGGCAAAGAUUUAUCGGUUCAGGAUGAGCCCGCGUCGGAUUAGCUAGUUGGUGGGGUAAUGGCCUACCAAGGCGACGAUCCGUAGCUGGUCUAAGAGGAUGAUCAGCCACAUUGGGACUGAGACACGGCCCAAACUCCUACGGGAGGCAGCAGUGGGGAAUAUUGGACAAUGGGCGCAAGCCUGAUCCAGCCAUGCCGCGUGAGUGAUGAAGGCCCUAGGGUUGUAAAGCUCUUUCAGUGGGGACGAUAAUGACGGUACCCACAGAAGAAGCCCCGGCUAACUUCGUGCCAGCAGCCGCGGUAAUACGAAGGGGGCUAGCGUUGUUCGGAAUUACUGGGCGUAAAGCGCACGUAGGCGGAUAUUUAAGUCAGGGGUGAAAUCCCGGGGCUCAACCCCGGAACUGCCUUUGAUACUGGAUGUCUUGAGUCCGGAAGAGGUGAGUGGAAUUGCGAGU
rnacentral:rRNA from 1 species